rnacentral:rRNA from 1 species
GAGUUCGAUCCUGGCCUGAUUGAAACGCUGGCGGAUGCUUUACACAUGCAAGUCGAACGGCAGCACGGACUUCGGUCUGGUGGCGAGUGGCGAACGGGUGAGUAAUGUAUCGGAACGUGCCUAGUAGCGGGGGAUAACUACGCUGGCGCUGUUACCGCACAUUGCCCUUCGUAAAAGCGGGGACUCGGGCCUCGCACUAUUAGAGCGGCCGAUAUCGGAUUAGCCGCCAGGGUAACGGCUCACCAAGGGUGACGAUCCGUAGCUGGUUUGAGAGACGACCAGCCACACUGGGGACUGGAGACACGCUCCAGACUCCACGGGAGGCAGCAGUGGGGAAUUUGGACAAUGGGGAAACCCCGAUCCAGCCAUCCCGCGUGUGCGAUGAAGGCCUCCCGCUGUAAAGCACUUUUGGCAGGAAGAAACGGCACGGACACACCCCGUGCAACUGACGGUAACGGCAGAAUAGCGCAACGCUAACUACGUGCCAGCAGCGCCGCGGUAAUACGUAGGGUGCAAGCGCUAAUCGGAAUUACUGGGCGUAAAGCGUGCGCAGGCGGUUCGGAAAGAAAGAUGUGAAAUCCAGAGCUUAACUUUGGAACUGCAUUUUUAACUACUGAGCUAGAGUGUGUCAGAGGAGGUGGAAUUCCUGCUGUAGCAGUGAAAUGCAGAUAUGCGAGAACACCGAUGGCGAAGGCAGCCUCCUGGGAUAACACUGACGCUCGCGCACGAAAGCGUGGGGAGCAAACAGGAUUAGAUACCCUGGGUAGUCCACGCCCUAAACGAUGUCAACUAGCUGUUGGGGCCUUCGCCUGUAGCGCAGCUAACGCGUGAAGUUGACCGCCUGGGGAGUACGGUCGCAAGAUUUAAACCCCAAAGGAAUUGACGGGGACCCGCACAAGCGGUGGAUGAUGUGGAUUAAUUCGAUGCAACGCGAAACCUUACCUACUCCUUGAUAUGCCUGGAAUCCCAAGAGAUUUGGGAGUGCUCGUAAGAGAAACUGGAACACAGGUGCUGCAUGGCUGUCGUCAGCUGUGUCGUGAGAUGUUGGGUUAAGUCCCGCAACGAGCGCAACCCUUGUCAUUAGUUGCUACGAAAGGGCACUCUAAUGAGACUGCCGGUGACAAACCGGAGGAAGGUGGGAUGAUGUCAAGUCCUCAUGGCCCUUGGCGUAUAGGCCUACACGUCAUACAAUGGUCGGGACAGAGGGCUCGCCAACCCCGCGAGGGGGAGCCAAUCCCAGAAACCCGAUCGUAGUCCGGAUCGCAGCUCGUAACCUCGACUGCGUGAAGUCGGAAUCGCUAGUAAUUGCGGAUCAGCCUGUCGCGGUGAAUACGUUCCCGGGUCUUGUACACACCGCCCGUCACACCAUGGAGUGGUUUUACCAGAAGUAGCAGUCAACCGUAAGGAGGGCGAUUACCACGGUAGGAUUCAUGACUGGGGUGAAGUCGUAACAAGGUAG